CGGUGCCGGAGCAAGAUGGCCUCUGGCUGUGACCUCUUGACGGAAGCACUUUCUGUUUUCUGAAAGCAAAGAAAGUGUCUCCGUUAAGAGGGUCACUGCCUGAGAAAAGCAUCACUGAAGCUGGCGCUG
rnacentral:pre_miRNA from 1 species